UAAACCUGUGGGUCAAUCUGGUAAUAUAUGUGAGAUCCAAUGCAUGGAAUCUGAUAGCAGUAAUCCAUAUAAAGAUUGUUUGGUUAAUGAAGAAAGAAGGCUUAUUGAUGAGAGGACUAAUGUAGGGACAGUAGAAAAGAAAAAAAUAG